UUGCAAACCACCUAAAUGAUCAUUGUCAUGGUCCGUGCAUUUGGGUUAGAAAAAGAAUUUUCCUGAUUCAUAGCAGGGUGAAAAGAAAGAUGAGUUUACUGAGAUAAGAAAUGCUGCUAGCAUAGUGGGAUGACUUCCUGAUGAUCAGAGAGAGCUGAAUCUGAGCGUGUGAUCAUGUCUGUUUUAUAGUCUAGGGGGAGGAAAGGUCUUAGUGUACACUUGCUGAUAGGCUGACUGGUUAGGGAAAGAGGGUCUUACGAUACACUUGCUGGUUUGUUGGGGGCAUAUAAGGUCCUUAUAGAGGUGGGGGAAGAGUGGGCCUUUCAUAGUAGGGGUCAGGAAGGACUAGGACAGUUGCUCAAGUUGGGAGGGGGCACUACAAUGAGAUGGAUGGGGCAAUGAUAAGGAUCUAGUAAUUCUUUUUGGGGGGUCUAGUAAAUCUUUAAUUUUUUUUUUAACUUUUUUUACUUUUUAGGGCUGCACCCACUGCAUAUGGAAGUUCUCAGGGUGAAAUCAGAGCUGCAGCUGCCAGCCCACACCACAGUAACAGCAACUCAGGAUCUGAGCCAUGUCUGCAACAUACACCACAGCUCACAGCAAUGCUGGAUCCUUAACCCACUGAGCAAGGCCAGGGAUCAAACCUGCAUCCUCUGGAGUUCCCAUUGUGGCACUGCAGAAAUGAAUCUGACUAGGAACCAUAAAGUCCCACAACCAUCAACAGACUAAUUGGAUGCCCAUAACCAAAACAAAACAAAACAAAACAAAAACCCAGCACAACCAGAUCAUCUGAGAAAUCCAUCCAUCACUGCAACCAGAAGAGAGUGGAUCGGACCUUAUCAGUGCCUACAAGAGUCAAGGUAGUCACAGUGGUAACAAUGGCAGUAGAGGCAGCUGGUGGACGAUCCAGCAGAGGUGACUGAAAAUGAAAUUCUCUCUGGCUGCUCUGGUGCAGCUGGAGGGACAUGUUCCUCUUCAUCAGCACCUGGGUUUCUGUAAAGGGACCUCUAUGGCUGGGCAGAGGGAAGAAAAAUGAAGAAGGCAGAGAAAGGAAUGUAAACAAACACAUUUGUCUGCCCUGGGAUUUCAGGGCAAGGUUCACCCACCUCUGGGACUCCUCAACUUGAGGAUGUCCCCACUGGUUUGUGUAUACACCCAAAACCCCAAUGUGCCAAGCCCACACCUUCCCUAAUUCUGUCACCAGCCGGUUUUUGUUUUGUUUUGUUUUUGCUUUUUAUUCCUGGAUUAUAGGUACACACCUAACUAUAGCAGCUAGUCAACUGUGGUAAGAGAAACCAAUGAUUGUGCUAUAGUGCCACCUUUUUGAAAACAAAGAAAAAUUUUGAAUUGCCAAUAUAUUGACAUACUAAAUUCAAACUAAACAAAGCUUUCCCUAAAUAAGAAAAGUGUGUGCUGCUUCAGAUGAGAUCAACAAAGCACAUUUUAUAAAAUGCUUUGCAAAGUCAUGGUAAUAUGACAUCACAAAAAGAAAAUGAGUUUUCCAGCAAUUGAUCUCAAAGCCAUGGAAUAUUGUAAUCUAAUUAUUAAAGAAUUCAAAAUAGCUCUUAUUAAGUAAGUCAACAAGGUGCAGGAAAAUUCAGAGGUAUUUCAAAGAACUCAGGAAUAAAAUUAGUAAAAAGAAGGAGUACUUUACCAAGAAUUGAAAUUAUGACAAAGAACCAAACAGAAAUGUUGAAGCUGAGAAACUCCAUAAAUGAAGUAAAGAAGACAUUGCAAAUAGAGAAGAAUAGAUGAAAGCGACUAAUCAAUUGGUGGAUAGAAACUAGAAAUAAUUCAAGUCAAAGAGGACAGAGAGCUAGUAUUUUAAAAGCAAAGAAACUCUAUGAGAAUUAUCACAAUCUAUUAGAAAAGCCAAUAAAAUAAUAAUGGGCAGACCAGAAGGAGAAGGGAGGAGGGGUACAGAGAAUUUAUUUAAAGAGUAAUAGCUCAGAGUUCCCACUGUAGCUCAGUGGCAAUGGACCUGAUUAGUAUCCAUAAGGAUGCAGGUUUGAUACCUGGCCUCGCUCAGUAGGUUAAGGAUCCAGUGUUGCCAUGAGCUGUGGUGUAGGUGAUAGCUACAGGUCAGAACCUGCAUUGCUGUGGCUCAGAUCCUGCAUUGCUCUGGCUGUGGCAUAGGUUGGCAGCUACAGCUCUGAUUUGACCCCUAGCCUGGGAACUUCCAUAUGCUGCAUGUGAGGCACUAAAAAAAAUAUAAUAAUAGCAGAUUGUUUACCACAACUGGGAAAUGACCUGGGCAUACUUGUACCCAAAGCUAAUAGAACACUUUAUUAUCUCCAGGGAAGAAGAUGUUCUUCAGGACACAUUCUAAAGAAGCUGUCAAAAAUCCAUGAUAAAGAAACAAUUUUGAAGUCAGCCAGGGAAUUAAAAAAAAUAACCUAUAAAGGGAUCAAUAUGGCAGAGUAAGAGCACAUGGAGCUCAGCUGCCCCCAAGAACACAUCAAAGCUACACCUGCACGAUUUCAGUUCUCAUUGAAAACUAACUGGAAACUGGCAGAAGGACUCCUGUACAAUCAAGACUAUGAGAAUGAUACACAUAUGAUUGGAUAGGAAGGGGAGAAAAGCAAUAGGCAUGGACCUGUGCCCCUGGAAGGGGACACAGAGGAAAAGGAAGAUUACAUGGGUGGACACCCACCAUCAGGACUGAGCAGGUUGAGCUACAGGCUGGGAACCCCUGUCCUGGAGAGUCCCAUGUGAAGGAGACAAGCCCUCUUGGCUAUUUGGAGGAUCUCUGGGAGAAAUAAAAGGGUUGGGGGAAAACUGGAUUCCACUUGUGAAGACAGUACAUACUGACUAGUCACUGAGGCAGGACAGAAACAUGAGCUCUUUAUCAAGACAAGCAAAUGAUCCAGCUCUGCUGACUACAUGCCACAGCCUGGCACUUGAUCUGUAGCAGCAGCAGCUGGGGAAAAGACUCAACUAUGGGACCCAGAGCUAGCUUGUUCCCAGGGAGAAGCCCAGGUGGGGAAGCUUUAGUCAUUGCUGUGUUUACUCAAGCAACACAACAUAAGCUACCCAUAUCUCUGACAGUGGCACUCCACCACAGAUAGCCCCCCAGUACAUGCAGACAAACCUCACAGGCCCCACCUGUCCUACAGAGCAUUUCCUUAAUAGGGCGGGAUUGGUGGAGGCUGGGGAUAGUGAUCAGUUGUGAGAAACAAAGAGGAUCCCCCUCACCCAGCAAGCAGGUCAGAGCGAGGUCUACUCUAGAAACUGCCAGGUUUCCCACAACUAGGUCAUUGUGCACUGCAUUCUGAGCCAAACAAGUACUCCCAUCCAAUUCACUCUAAACCACAAUGUGGCACUGGAUCUAGGCUUCCCAUGACCAGGCAAAAUAUUUGACCUCAGGAUAUAGAGGCAACCCAGUUUUGGGGAAGAAGUUGUGUGGAGUGGUGGAAACCACUGUUGGCACUCGCAUAAGCAGUGUCUCAAAAAGGAACUCAAACAUAUCACACCAUCAUAUUAUAUAUUUAAAAUCCAAAAGUUAAAAAGAUAAUUCUAAAGGCAGCAGGAGAAAAACAACAUGCUAUACACAAAAGGAAUCCUCAUAAGGCUAUCAGCUGAUUUCUCCACAGAAAUGUUGCAGGCCAUAAGGUAGUGGCGUGAUGUAUUCAAAGUGCUGAAAGAGAAAAUCCUGCAAAGUAGGAUUCUCUGCCCAAUUAUAACCACAAGCUAAAAACCUAUAAUAGAUUCAUAAAAACUGAAAAUAAAAAAGACAAACACUCUACUAAAGAAACCCAUCACUAUAAGACAAGAAACUAAAAGAAGAAAUGAUCAGGGAAUA
rnacentral:lncRNA from 1 species